rnacentral:rRNA from 1 species
GGCCCCCUGGACAAAGACUGACGCUCAGGUGCGAAAGCGUGGGGAGCAAACAGGAUUAGAUACCCUGGUAGUCCACGCCGUAAACGAUGUCUACUUGGAGGUUGUGCCCUUGAGGCGUGGCUUCCGGAGCUAACGCGUUAAGUAGACCGCCUGGGGAGUACGGCCGCAAGGUUAAAACUCAAAUGAAUUGACGGGGGCCCGCACAAGCGGUGGAGCAUGUGGUUUAAUUCGAUGCAACGCGAAGAACCUUACCUGGUCUUGACAUCCACAGAACUUUCCAGAGAUGGAUUGGUGCCUUCGGGAACUGUGAGACAGGUGCUGCAUGGCUGUCGUCAGCUCGUGUUGUGAAAUGUUGGGUUAAGUCCCGCAACGAGCGCAACCC